GGGCCCGCACAAGUGGUGGAGCAUGUGGUUUAAUUCGAUGAUACGCGAGGAACCUUACCAGGGCUUAAAUGUAAGUUGCAUUAGUUAGAGAUAGCUAUUUCUUCGGACCACUUACAAGGUGCUGCAUGGUUGUCGUCAGCUCGUGCCGUGAGGUGUCAGGUUAAGUCCUAUAACGAGCGCAACCCCUGUUGUUAGUUGCCAGCGAGUCAUGUCGGGAACUCUAACAAGACUGCCGGUGCAAACCGUGAGGAAGGUGGGGAUGACGUCAAAUCAUCACGGCCCUUACGUCCUGGGCUACACACGUGCUACAAUGGUCGGUACAGAGAGCAGCCACUACGCGAGUAGGAGCGAAUCUUCAAAGCCGAUCACAGUUCGGAUUGAGGUCUGCAACUCGACCUCAUG
rnacentral:rRNA from 1 species